AUUUAAGUAAUUUAAUUAAAAUGUUAGUUUGUGGUACUAAAAAUGUAAGUUUUUACCUUAGAUA
rnacentral:tRNA from 1 species